AGGCUUAACACAUGCAAGUCGAGCCCCGCAAGGGGAGCGGCAGACGGGUGAGUAACGCGUGGGAAUCUACCCUUUACUACGGAAUAACGCAGGGAAACUUGUGCUAAUACCGUAUGUGUCCUUCGGGAGAAAGAUUUAUCGGUAAAGGAUGAGCCCGCGUUGGAUUAGCUAGUUGGUGGGGUAAAGGCCUACCAAGGCGACGAUCCAUAGCUGGUCUGAGAGGAUGAUCAGCCACAUUGGGACUGAGACACGGCCCAAACUCCUACGGGAGGCAGCAGUGGGGAAUAUUGGACAAUGGGCGCAAGCCUGAUCCAGCCAUGCCGCGUGAGUGAUGAAGGCCCUAGGGUUGUAAAGCUCUUUCACCGGAGAAGAUAAUGACGGUAUCCGGAGAAGAAGCCCCGGCUAACUUCGUGCCAGCAGCCGCGGUAAUACGAAGGGGGCUAGCGUUGUUCGGAAUUACUGGGCGUAAAGCGCACGUAGCGGAUC
rnacentral:rRNA from 1 species